UGGGGAAUAUUGCACAAUGGGCGCAAGCCUGAUGCAGCCAUGCCGCGUGUGUGAAGAAGGCCUUCGGGUUGUAAAGCACUUUCAGCGAGGAGGAAGGUGGUGAGCUUAAUACGCUCAUCAAUUGACGUUACUCGCAGAAGAAGCACCGGCUAACUCCGUGCCAGCAGCCGCGGUAAUACGGAGGGUGCAAGCGUUAAUCGGAAUUACUGGGCGUAAAGCGCACGCAGGCGGUUUGUUAAGUCAGAUGUGAAAAUCCCCGGGCUCAACCUGGGAACUGCAUUUGAAACUGGCAAGCUAGAGUCUCGUAGAGGGGGGCUAGAAUUCCAGGUGUAGCGGUGAAAUGCGUAGAGAUCUGGAGGAAUACCGGUGGCGAAGGCGGCCCCCCUGGACGAAGACUGACGCUCAGGUGCG
rnacentral:rRNA from 1 species